GAUGAACGCUGGCGGCGUGCCUAAUACAUGCAAGUCGAGCGAACGGACGAGAAGCUUGCUUCUCUGAUGUUAGCGGCGGACGGGUGAGUAACACGUGGAUAACCUACCUAUAAGACUGGGAUAACUUCGGGAAACCGUAGCUAAUACCGGAUAAUAUUUUGAACCGCAUGGUUCAAAAGUGAAAGACGGUCUUGCUGUCACUUAUAGAUGGAUCCGCGCUGCAUUAGCUAGUUGGUAGGGUAACGGCUUACCAAGGCAACGGUUCAUAGCCGACCUGAGAGGGUGAUCGGCCACACUGGAACUGAGACACGGUCCAGACUCCUACGGGAGGCAGCAGUAGGGAAUCUUCCGCAAUGGGCGAAAGCCUGACGGAGCAACGCCGCGUGAGUGGUGAAGGUCUUCGGAUCGUAAAACUCUGUUAUUAGGGAAGAACAUAUGUGUAAGUAACUGUGCACAUCUUGACGGUACCUAAUCAGAAAGCCACGGCUAACUACGUG
rnacentral:rRNA from 1 species